AUUGAACGCUGGCGGUAUGCUUAACACAUGCAAGUCGAACGAGUGGCGGACGGGUGUGUAAUGCAUAGGAAUCUACCUUUUCGUCUAGGAUAACUACCCGAACGGGUGACUAAUCCUGGAUGCUAUGAGAUGAGCCUAUGUGGGCUUAGCUAGUUGGUGGGGUAAUGGGUCAGCAAGGCGACGAUCGCUAGUUGGUUUCAGGGGAUGAUGAGCGAGACUGGGAAUGAGACACGGCACAGACUGCUACGGGAGGCAGCAGUGGGGAAUAUUGGACAAUGGGCGAAAGCGUGGUCCAGCAAUACCGCGGGUGUGAAGAAGGGCCUAGAGGUGUAAAGCACGUUUGUUAGGGAGAUGGUACCUAAAGAAGAAGCACCGGCUAACUCCGUGCCAGCAGCCGCGGUAAUUC
rnacentral:rRNA from 1 species